rnacentral:rRNA from 1 species
GGGGACCCGCAAGCGGUGGAUGAUGUGGAUUAAUUCGAUGCAACGCGAAAAACCUUACCUACCCUUGACAUGUACGGAAUCCCGGAGAGAUUUGGGAGUGCUCGAAAGAGAGCCGUAACACAGGUGCUGCAUGGCUGUCGUCAGCUCGUGUCGUGAGAUGUUGGGUUAAGUCCCGCAACGAGCGCAACCCUUGUCAUUAGUUGCUACGCAAGAGCACUCUAAUGAGACUGCCGGUGACAAACCGGAGGAAGGUGGGGAUGACGUCAAGUCCUCAUGGCCCUUAUGGGUAGGGCUUCACACGUCAUACAAUGGUACAUACAGAGGGCCGCCAACCCGCGAGGGGGAGCUAAUCCCAGAAAGUGUAUCGUAGUCCGGAUUGUAGUCUGCAACUCGACUACAUGAAGUUGGAAUCGCUAGUAAUCGCGGAUCAGCAUGUCGCGGUGAAUACGUUCCCGGGUCUUGUACACACC